UGUCAGUCUGGAGCAGAUCUGUGCCCCUUGUCAGACGCCGUUGAAGCCACGGACCGAGUCGGGGAUGGCACUCUUGUUGUUUGUGCUUCAGAAACUGAGGAAGGGGCCAGUCUCUUCUUACCCUCAGCCCUAUCAGAGGAUGUUUUGCUCUUGCUGGGGUGAGAGGAGUGAGGGUCAGUAGACAACCUCACCGAGCGUGAGGAAUUCUCUGGAGGAAGAAAGAGAAAAGGGAAACUAACAACGAUGAGAGGAAAACAGGAAAGCUACUAUCUAAAGAGCAACUUGGGCUCUGCUAAGUGUUCGAUUCCAGACCGCAGGCAGGAGAGAAGGAACUGAGGCUGGUCGGACCGCACAGCGCUAUAUAUACGACCUGCGCACAGGGCGGGGGAGGGGAGGUGCGCAUGCGAGGUCCCACGGGCACUGCUGUUGAGAUCUCCAACUCAAGAAGCAAAGCCGCUGCCGCACCUACAGUGCAGCACCCCUGGGAACAUCACUCGAAGAAGAACCUAGGGGAACAGUGAGUAGGCCAAGACCCCCAGACUCAUAGUGGAAACAGUGACUAUUUUGAUGUCCUUAUUCUGUAAAAAUAGGGUACCUUCCUGCCCACUGUCAAGGAGUCUCAAGUUUCUAAACACCGUGGUUUCAUGCAUUUUAUCCAUACAUGUGUUAAUGAAUCGCCCUUGAUGGUCCUCCAAAGCUUGUAACACUAGGGAAUAUCUCUUUCUGCCAAUGAACCUGUUUGCAUUUCUUUUGGACAGAUUAUGCUCACAUAGGUACCAUCUAUGGCUUCUGCGCAGUUUGGGAAUCCCAGCUGCUGAAACCUCCUAGGAUAUGUGUGUUCUGUGAUUAGAUUUCGCCAACCCUGUAACAAAUAUGAACUUCUGAAGUACUAUAGUUGACUUGUCAUGAAGUCACAGUCUCCUUGGUCCCCUGUCUUGCCAACCUGGUCAACUCAGCUUGUCAUCAAUGGUUGCUUUACUCCAAAAAAUCACAAAAUACUCAAGUUGCUCCAGUCCCUAGGGACCAGUCACUUAUCUCAGGGCAAGUCAUACCUUAGACCUCACACCAAAGACAACACUGGCAGCCCAUUCUACAGUAAACUAACUACAGAUUUAAUAACUAAAAAAAGAAAUGGGGCAAGCAGGCAUAUACACACAGAUGAGCUACCGGCUAUGUUUUAAGAUUAGCAAAGUUGUAGAGAUUUGUUAAUUCAAAAUGCCCUUCAGGGCAAACCCAGAGAUAACUCUAGGGGUGUCUACUUCAGUCUUAAUAUCUCUGGCCCUGUCAGAGUCCAAAAAGCAAAGAGACACCUUGAUUUUUCUGUUUGAGGCAUUUUAUACCUUCGCUCCUCAGAAAUCAAGCUUAUAGCAACAGUUCACAGGCAGGUCUCUUCUUUCUGGUGGGGGAGGGGAAGGAGGAAUGCACUUUAAAGUCUUUGAUCCCACACAAUGGCCCAUUCGUUGCAUUAUACAAGGCCUUUUCCUUGUCUGAUGAGUUACAUAGUCACAGAGGUUUCCGUUGCAAAUGUUUGCUAAGGCUUUAUGACAUGGGGUAGAUAUAGCUGAGUGAGAACAAUCCAUGCAACAUCCUACUAGCUUUUCAGGUAGUAUAAACACUGAACACAUUCAUACAAUCUUCAGAUCUAUUUUUACAAUACUAACACGCAUGAUAGCUGGACUGGUUUCCAGCAAUGAAUUUGUCAGUGCUCGGGUGAUGCUUUCAGCCUUAGGAUGAACUGGCAUUUGGUCUACCAGCAUCACACCACAAUCUUAGCCAAACAGAGAGCUGGUGUAUCUUUAUGGAAUUUUGGAAUUAAAAAAGAAAGUGGAGAUAUUCCAGCCACAGAUGAAGAGCUCUCUCAAUUCCUUGAAAAGGAAAGUGUACCAAGCCACAUUGCUGCUGUAGGAGACUCACGGCAACACUAAAGACUGUUUCAACUAAUUGUAGUACAUAGGAAUAGAGUAAUACCCCUUUAAGUAGCUUGUGAGCUGUCUAGUGGUGAUCAGUGUUCUGUUCUAGAAGCCAUCAAAAACUAGUCAGAGGAGCAGUGUGUAUUAAACUAGGCCUUGUAUGUCUGUAUAUAGUUAAUAAACAUGGUUCUUUGGGA